GACGAACGCUGGCGGCGCGCUUAACACAUGCAAGUCGAGCGAUGAAACUUUAACAGAACCCUUCGGGGCGAAGAUAAAGUGGAUUAGCGGCGGACGGGUGAGUAACACGUGAGUAACCUGCCUUAGACAUUGGGAUAGCCUCGGGAAACCGGGAUUAAUACCAAAUAAAAUCAUAAUGACACAUGUCAUAACGAUCAAAACUCCGGUGGUCUAAGAUGGACUCGCGUCCCAUUAGCUAGUUGGUAGAGUAAAAGCCUACCAAUGCGACGAUGGGUAGCCGGCCUGAGAGGGUGAACGGCCACAUUGGAACUGAGAAACGGUCCAAACUCCUACGGGAGGCAGCAGUGGGGAAUAUUGCACAAUGGAGGGAACUCUGAUGCAGCGACGCCGCGUGAACGAAGAAGGCUUUCGAGUCGUAAAGUUCUUUUAUAUGGGAAGAUAAUGACGGUACCAUAAGAAAAAGCCCCGGCUAACUACGUG
rnacentral:rRNA from 1 species